GUGAAUCAUCGAAUCUUUGAACGCAAAUUGCACUCUUUGGUAUUCCGAAGAGUAUGCUUGUUUGAGGGUUGUUCCAAUAAAAUCGUUUUUUUAAAAAACGGAUCUGAGCUUUCCAAGGUUUCAUGAUUUUGGUAAUUUUAAAUUCAUCUUAACGAUAUUUUUGGUAUGAUAUUGGAAAUGGUUAUAUUCUUACUACUCGUGAGUUUGAUUAACAAUCGGUUACCUGUCGUUAGGUCGUAUUACUGGCGCAAUCCUCUUGAUAGG
rnacentral:misc_RNA from 1 species